rnacentral:rRNA from 1 species
GACGAACGCUGGCGGCGUGCUUAACACAUGCAAGUCGAACGGAAAGGCCCUGCUUUUGUGGGGUGCUCGAGUGGCGAACGGGUGAGUAACACGUGAGUAACCUGCCCUUGACUUUGGGAUAACUUCAGGAAACUGGGGCUAAUACCGGAUAGGAGCUCCUGCUGCAUGGUGGGGGUUGGAAAGUUUCGGCGGUUGGGGGUGGACUCGCGGCUUAUCAGCUUGUUGGUGGGGUAGUGGCUUACCAAGGCUUUGACGGGUAGCCGGCCUGAGAGGGUGACCGGCCACAUUGGGACUGAGAUACGGCCCAGACUCCUACGGGAGGCAGCAGUGGGGAAUAUUGCACAAUGGGCGGAAGCCUGAUGCAGCAACGCCGCGUGCGGGAUGACGGCCUUCGGGUUGUAAACCGCUUUCGCCUGUGACGAAGCGUGAGUGACGGUAAUGGGUAAAGAGGCACCGGCUAACUACGUG